rnacentral:tRNA from 1 species
GUUUUAAUAGUUGAAGUACAACAGUGGUUUUUCAGGUCUCAGGUUUUGGUUAAAGUCCAAGUUAAAAUA